UCCUAGUACGAGAGGACCGGAGUGGACAGACCUCUAGUGUGCCAGUUGUUCCGCCAGGAGCAUCGCUGGGUAGCCAUGUCUGGCAAAGAUAACCGCUGAAAGCAUCUAAGUGGGAAACUUGCCCUAAGAUUAGAUCCCUGUGACCCGUAAGGGUGUAAGACCGCAGGUAGACUACCUGCUUAAUAGGCAGCAUGUGUAAGCGCAGUAAUGUGUUAAGCUAAGCUGUACUAAUGGUCGAGGGCUUCCUUUA
rnacentral:rRNA from 1 species